CCUACGGGAGGCAGCAGUGGGGAAUAUUGGACAAUGGGCGAAAGCCUGAUCCAGCCAUGCCGCGUGAGUGAUGAAGGCCUUAGGGUUGUAAAGCUCUUUUACCUGGGAAGCGGUACCAGGAGAAUAAGCCCCGGCUAACUUCGUGCCAGCAGCCGCGGUAAUACGAAGGGGGCUAGCGUUGUUCGGAUUUACUGGGCGUAAAGCGCACGUAGGCGGAUUCUUAAGUCAGGGGUGAAAUCCCGAGGCUCAACCUCGGAACUGCCUUUGAUACUGGGGAUCUUGAGUUCGGGAGAGGUGAGUGGAACUGCGAGUGUAGAGGUGAAAUUCGUAGAUAUUCGCAAGAACACCAGUGGCGAAGGCGGCUCACUGGCCGAACUGACGCUGAGGUGCGAAAGCGUGGGGAGCAAACAGGAUUAGAUACCCUUGUAGUC
rnacentral:rRNA from 1 species